UCGUCUUCGGACGUAGUUUGUUGACUCUGAAUAACGUAGCUAAUCGACGGUUAAUCCGUCGAUAACCGAAAGAAGUGUCUGCCCUAUCAACCAGAUGGUAGUCUAUUAGUCUACCAUGGUUAUCACGGGUAACGGAGAAUCAGGGUUCGGCUCCGGAGAGGGAGCCUUAGAAACGGCUACCACAUCCAAGGAAGGCAGCAGGCA
rnacentral:rRNA from 1 species